rnacentral:rRNA from 1 species
AGAGUUUGAUCCUGGCUCAGGAUGAACGCUGACAGAAUGCUUAACACAUGCAAGUCGAUUCAAGUUACCUUCGGGUAAUGAGGAUGGCGGACGGGUGAGUAACGCGUAAGGAACUUGCCUCUUGGUCUGGGACAACUGUUGGAAACGACAGCUAAUACCGGAUAUUAUGAGAUUCUCGCAUGAGAAACUUAUGAAAGCUAUAUGCGCCAAGAGAGAGCCUUGCGUUCCAUUAGCUAGUUGGUGGGGUAAUGGCCCACCAAGGCGACGAUGGAUAGCCGGCCUGAGAGGGUGAACGGCCACAAGGGGACUGAGACACGGCCCUUACUCCUACGGGAGGCAGCAGUGGGGAAUAUUGGACAAUGGGCCACAAGCCUGAUCCAGCAAUUCUGUGUGCACGAUGAAGGUCUUCGGAUUGUAAAGUGCUUUCAGUUGGGAAGAAGAAAGUGACGGUACCAACAGAAGAAGCGACGGCUAAAUACGUGCCAGCAGCCGCGGUAAUACGUAUGUCGCAAGCGUUAUCCGGAUUUAUUGGGCGUAAAGCGCGUCUAGGCGGAAAGAUAAGUCUGAUGUGAAAAUGCGGGGCUCAACUCCGUAUUGCGUUGGAAACUGUCUUUCUAGAGUACUGGAGAGGUGGGCGGAACUACAAGUGUAGAGGUGAAAUUCGUAGAUAUUUGUAGGAAUGCCGAUGGAGAAGUCAGCUCACUGGACAGAUACUGACGCUGAAGCGCGAAAGCGUGGGGAGCAAACAGGAUUAGAUACCCUGGUAGUCCACGCCGUAAACGAUGAUCACUAGGUGUUGGGGGUCGAACCUCAGCGCCCAAG